rnacentral:rRNA from 1 species
GGAUACCCGAGGGAAACUUCGGUUAAUACGGUAUAAGACCACACUACCGCAUGGUAGAGGGGUAAAAGGGGCAACCUGGUAUGAGAUGGACUCGCGUCGCAUUAGCUAGUUGGUGAGGUAACGGCCCACCAAGGCGACGAUGCGUAGCCGACCUGAGAGGGUGAUCGGCCACAUUGGGACUGAGAUACGGCCCAGACUCCUACGGGAGGCAGCAGUGGGGAAUAUUGGGCAAUGGAGGAAACUCUGACCCAGCAAUGCCGCGUGAAUGAAGAAGGUCUUCGGAUUGUAAAGUUCUUUAGUCAGGGAAGAAGUCAAUGACGGUACCUGAAGAAUAAGCUCCGGCUAACUACGUGCCAGCAGCCGCGGUAAUACGUAGGGAGCAAGCGUUGUUCGGAAUGACUGGGCGUAAAGGGUGCGUAGGCGGUUGUACAAGUUAGAAGUGAAAACCCAGGGCUUAACUCGGGUGCUGCUUCUAAAACUGUAUGACUUGAGUGCAGUAGAGGUUAGUGGAAUUCCUAGUGUAGCGGUGGAAUGCGUAGAUAUUAGGAGGAACACCAGAGGCGAAGGCGGCUAACUGGACUGCAACUGACGCUGAGGCACGAAAGUGUGGGGAGCAAACAGGAUUAGAUACCCUGGUAGUCCACACUGUAAACGAUGGGUAAUAGAUGUAGGAGGUAUCGACUCCUUCUGCGUCGCAG